GAUGAACGCUGGCGGCGUGCCUAAUACAUGCAAGUCGAGCGAACAGAUAAGGAGCUUGCUCCUUUGACGUUAGCGGCGGACGGGUGAGUAACACGUGGGUAACCUACCUAUAAGACUGGGACAACUUCGGGAAACCGGAGCUAAUACCGGAUAAUAUUUCGAACCGCAUGGUUCGAUAGUGAAAGAUGGUUUUGCUAUCACUUAUAGAUGGACCCGCGCCGUAUUAGCUAGUUGGUAAGGUAACGGCUUACCAAGGCGACGAUACGUAGCCGACCUGAGAGGGUGCUCGGCCACACUGGAACUGAGACACGGUCCAGACUCCUACGGGAGGCAGCAGUAGGGAAUCUUCCGCAAUGGGCGAAAGCCUGACGGAGCAACGCCGCGUGAGUGAUGAAGGUCUUCGGAUCGUAAAACUCUGUUAUUAGGGAAGAACAUACGUGUAAGUAACUGUGCACGUCUUGACGGUACCUAAUCAGAAAGCCACGGCUAACUACGUG
rnacentral:rRNA from 1 species